rnacentral:rRNA from 1 species
GUGGGGAAUCUUCCACAAUGGACGAAAGUCUGAUGGAGCAACGCCGCGUGAGUGAAGAAGGGUUUCGGCUCGUAAAGCUCUGUUGUCGGGGACGAAUGUGCAGUAUUUGAAUAAAGUAGUGCAAUGACGGUACCUGACGAGGAAGCCACGGCUAACUACGUGCCAGCAGCCGCGGUAAUACGUAGGUGGCAAGCGUUGUCCGGAAUUAUUUGGCGUAAAGGGAGCGCAGGCGGGAAGGUAAGUCGGUCUUAAAAGUGCGGGGCUCAACCCCGUGAUGGGAUCGAAACUAUCUUUCUUGAGUGCAGGAGAGGAAAGUGGAAUUCCUAGUGUAGCGGUGAAAUGCGUAGAUAUUAGGAGGAACACCAGUGGCGAAGGCGACUUUCUGGACUGUAACUGACGCUGAGGCUCGAAAGCCAGGGGAGCGAACGGGAUUAGAAACCCGAGUAGUCC